ensembl:lncRNA
CCCCAAGAACAAGCCCUGGAUCCUCCACCAGCCUGCUGCUGGCCUCCCAACCUCCUCUGCUCUGCCCACACGGGCCUCUGUCCCCCAGGACUCCCUGCUGAGGCGCACCUCCAGGGCUCUGCCCUUGCUGUGCCUGCCUGGAAGGCUCUCUUCACCCUCCUGACUCUGCUGCAUCAUGCAGAUCUCAGCCCCAGGGGCCUGAAGAAGAUGGGCUGGAGUCCCCUUGGGAGAAACUUUUCCAGAACCAUCUGGUAUGGCUCCUUUGUAAGAUGGGUGGCCCUUUGUGGUUAUGUAACUAUUUGAGUUAUUUGGUUAAAGAUUAUUUGCCCCCUGGGGUAGGGCUGAAGACAAGGACCAUGCUUGUGGGUUCACUAUGAUAUCCCAGCGCCUGGCACAUAGUAGGUGCUUAGUUAAGGGUUCUUUCUGAAGGAAGGAGGGAGGGAGGGAGGGAGGGAAGGAGGGAGAGGGAGGGAGGAAUGACGCUUAGUGUUCUAUUCUGCCCAGGGUUUUGCUUGUGUGUCAUGAGAUGAGGGGCAGGACCCUCAGAACUCCACCAGGAAUCAGGUGUGAGAGGUCACCUUGAGGGCUAGUGGGUGUCCCAGGUGAGGCAGGUGGUGCAGGAGGGCUGAUGUGGCCUACUUUUAUGAGGGGCUGUCAGUAGGGCCAAAGGACAGUGGGGACAGGGAGGUCGCUUUGGCAGUUUCUGCCUGGCACUGCCCAGGGAGGGGGUCUCCAGCAGCCAACAUGACCAUCCUGCCUGCUGGGGGAGCAUGUCCUGGGGUGGUGCUGGCAGCCGUCUGCCCAGCCCAACAUUUGUUAGUAGUGACCGUGUGUCCCACCCUGGAAGCGCUCCCAGUGCGCUGGGAAAGACAUGUGCGCUCACACUGGGUGAUAUGCAGUUUGAUGGGAGGAGCUCUAAGUGGGUGGAGGAACUCCUAACACUGCUUUGCCGCUCAAGGAAGUCUUCUCAGAAGGGCCAUUUAGACUAGGUCUUGAGGGAUGCCUAGGAGUUCACUAGGAAAGACUUUCCAGAGGAGGUGAAAUUGUGUUGGGUCUUGAGGGAUGCAAAGUUCACUCAGAAAACAAGAGAGGAAACACCUUUUCUGGACACUGGGUUCUCUUUAGGGGCUCAUGUAGGCCAUCAGGCCAGUAAGACCACAGUAUUCUGGGGCCCCGCUCUCCCAUGCCAGCCUCUCGUGUACGUCCUAUGUGUGACCAUAUGGGUGAGGCCCCUCCACUGCCCCAUCCUAGAGUGGUUAGGAUUAUACCAGCGGGGAGUGUGCUUGGCACACAGCAAGUGCUUGGUCUGAGUGGGCUCUCAGAAUCGUGCAGCUGGUCCAAGGUGGGGCCAUGUCUAGAGCCUGCUGCUUGCAUACUCGUGACAGGCACUCACCCCGCUGCAGGCAGCCCUUCCUUCUCCAGAGCCAGCAGCAGUUUCAGAAGAUGAGUGGGGCCUUGUCAGUCCCCACUGAAUUGCCUGGAACCAAGUGGUGAGGUUGGGGCCGCCAGAACGGAGAGGCCUGGUCGGGAAGCAGGCUCACCUGGAUUUUAGCCCACACCUGCCCGGCCUCCCUGAGGCUUCCAGGGAUGACUUCAUUCCCAUCCAGGUCUCCCAGGAAGCAUCAAAGGUGAGAAAACAGUUCUCAGACGUUUACUGGGGCAUAAAGGGGGCCAGGAAGCCUUACAGGGUGGAAACAGGUCUGAAGUGGGGUGUGUGUGUCAGCCCAAGACUUAAGAGAACCCCUUGGGGCCCACUGGCACUGGGGCCUGGGGCCAUAGAGACUCAAGUUCAUUAAGAACAAGGACUCAGGUUGAGUGCGGUGGCUCACACCUGUAAUCCCAGCACUUUGGGAGGCUGAGGCGGGCAGAUCACGAGGUCAGGAGUUCGAAACCAGCCUGACCAACAUGGUGAAACUCUGUCUCUACUAAAAAUACAAAAAUUAGCCAGACGUGGUGGUGGGAUCCUGUAAUCCCAGCUACUUGGGAGGCUGAGGCAGGAGAAUCGCUUGCAUGCGGGAGGUAGAGGUUGCAGUGAGCCGAGAUCGCACCACUGCACUCCAGCCUGGACAACAGAGCAAGACUCCAUCUCAAAAAAAAAAAAAAAAAAA